GAUGAACGCUGGCGGCGUGCCUAAUACAUGCAAGUCGAGCGAACAGACGAGGAGCUUGCUCCUCUGACGUUAGCGGCGGACGGGUGAGUAACACGUGGAUAACCUACCUAUAAGACUGGGAUAACUUCGGGAAACCGGAGCUAAUACCGGAUAAUAUAUUGAACCGCAUGGUUCAAUAGUGAAAGACGGUUUUGCUGUCACUUAUAGAUGGAUCCGCGCCGCAUUAGCUAGUUGGUAAGGUAACGGCUUACCAAGGCAACGAUGCGUAGCCGACCUGAGAGGGUGAUCGGCCACACUGGAACUGAGACACGGUCCAGACUCCUACGGGAGGCAGCAGUAGGGAAUCUUCCGCAAUGGGCGAAAGCCUGACGGAGCAACGCCGCGUGAGUGAUGAAGGUCUUCGGAUCGUAAAACGCUGUUAUUAGGGAAGAACAAAUGUGUAAGUAACUAUGCACGUCUGGACGGUACCUAAUCAGAAAGCCACGGCGAACUACGU
rnacentral:rRNA from 1 species